AGGGGGGAGGAGGAGUCACGAGGAGGGUGGCCGGGCCGGCCGAGCCCUCUGCCCUCCGCCCUAGCGAGCACCUCGGUCCUGCCCAGCCACGCGCCUUGCUCCUCGCCGCUCCCCUGCCUUCUUGGGAGCUCUGGAGGCCAUCGCAACGGGAGAUGCUCUCUGGGCAUUUGGGGAAAGAACUGAUUGUGCUCCUACAAUGGUACUCGCCCAACCAGUAUUUACUGAUGCCCGCGAUGCCCUGGGGGGGCAAGGGACACAAAACUGGAACGGACUCGGACCCUGCCAGCCCUCAAGUUGCUCGGAGAUUAAUAGAGAUCGGAACUCUGCAAUUACUGGGAAACCAAAGCUGAAUUUCAGUUCAUGACUGCACUGCUCAAAUACUUGAUCUGCAAUAAUCUAUCUGUAUCUUCCCAGGAUGCUGUGGCUUCUGGUAAGGGACUUACUCUUUCUCUUUACCAAAAGUUUACUGAACUUUCUCUUAAGAAGCAGAAAAAAAGAAUAAUGUAACAUAUAUUAACUGAGCCAAUGAAGAGGAGCUCAUGUCUUUGACUUAAAAGGUGCCAAAGAGUUAACUGGUAUUUGUUUUGUGGAAUCUUGGAUAAUUUAAGAUGCUGCAUUUUCUAUUAUGCUAAGCUGUGGUUCCCUGCAAGAACAUUAAGGCUAAGAUUUAGGUUGUUCCAAUUAGCUGUCAGAUUUGAGAAGAUAAUUAGACUUAACUGUGCUUGAGUUUCCUACCCACAAAAUGGUCUGUGUACCUGUUUCGCUUAUCUCGCAAGGUUGUUGAGCAGAUAAAUCACCUUAUGAGAAAUGCCUAGAGUAAUGUAAAACGUGUUAUGUGAUUCAGAAUGUGGAAGAACCUCAAAGACUUAAACUGGACUAAUUUGAAGUUUAUGAAAAUUCUCAAAGCAGUUUCAACAAAAAAAACUUGAGUAGACAAAAUUAAGUGCAAACAAAUUUAUAGAGAUAAACACAUUACAGGGUCAGCACAUACGGCCAUGCAGAUUAUGCACUGCACAGCUCGAAGAGGUGCCAUUCACAAAGCAUUGACCCUACAGUGACCUACUUAAAUCAGUUGCUUAUGACUUCCAGAAAUCUCUAUUUACUCACGAAGUAGCAUUAACCAAUGUUCUCAUCUUUUUUUUUUUUUAAGUAGGUGCCAUGCUCUGCGUGGAGCCCAAUGCAGAGACUGAACUCAUGACCCUAAGAUAAGACCUGAGCUGGGAUCAGGGGUCAGCCACUUAACCGACUGAGCUAUCCAGGCACCCCUCUCAUCUUUUUCUUGAUGGAGGUUCCCAAGAACCUCUUAUUGACCACACGUUGCUUCUCCUAUUUACAAUUCGUGGUUUUCUAGAUAGGGCAUCAGGUCAGCCUUGCAAUUAAUUGAGAUUAUUUAUCCUCCUCCCUCCCCUACUAUCCAUUUUAAUGAGGUUUUGAUCUUAUAAUCAUUAAGGGUGAAAUUAUUUUUAACAUGAAUUCUUUUAAGACAUUUACCUUUGUUUUCAGUUUUUUAUUUUCUUCUAUAAUAGCUUCAUAUUUCUCUUUCAUUUCUGCCAAUUCUAGGCGAAGCAGCUCUAUUUCUGGAUUUUCUGGGGUAGCAGCUCCUAAAUGAUGCUUUAAAAAACUAAUAUCAAAGUUAAGAAUUUACUUGAGCUGAAUGAAACUAAUGAAAUAGCUCAGAGUAGGAUCAAUAUCUCUGAUCAUGGUCACCCCACCAACAUCUACCCAGAGAUCAUCAUCGCAAAACAUAAAGGAAAGUAACUUUUUCAAUCGUCAAAAAUAUUUUAAAUAUUAUCUAUGUGAAAAAAUAAGAGUUCCAAAAAUAAGUCCUUUUUCUGACUUGAAAGAUGAAAAGGAUACUCCAAAGCACUAUUAGGUUUCUCUGGUUCUUCAUAUAAGGCUACCAAUACUGCAAAUCAGAAAGCAGAAAAAAGCAACAAUUAAAGUCUUAAAUUUGAAUGACUGAAUUUAUAUAGCCCAGUAAAUAUUAAACGCCUAUUAUACGCCAAUCACAUUGCUAGGACUGCCAUACCAUGGUAAACAAGGCAGAUAAGGUCCCUGCUCUCAACAAAUUUACAGUCUAGUGCAAAAGCAAAGAACUAGACCAAAACCAAAAAACAAAAAACCAUCAAGCAGCAAUACAGGAUGAUGGAUUAUGGGAGCACAUUGGAAGACCACCUAACUCAGCCUAGGGCACCACAGAAGGCUCCCUAAGGAAGGGAAGUAAGACCUGAGACUUGGCUAUGAGGGUUUCAGACAAAAUGGGAAGGUGAGGGGGUGGGGAGGGCAAGAGAACAACACGUUGAGGAACUGAAAAUUCAAGUAUGGCUGGAUGGAGCUGUGAACAAUGUGGCAGGAAAGGAAGCUGGCAAGGUGGUCAGGACGCAGACCAGGGAGGAUCCUGCAAGUUCGGUUGGACUGUGAUCCUCAGAACAGGCAUAUAAUUAAACAGUUUUAAGCACAAGAGUGACAGGAUCGCUCUUGACUGCUGUGUGGAAGAUCCAGAGUGGGACAAGGAUGAAGGCAGGAAGAGCAGUUAUGAUGCAGGCGUGGUAAUCCAGGUGAAAAAGAUCGUAACCUGCACUAGAGUGAUUUGGGGGUGGGGGGAUGAAAACAAAGUAGAUAAAUUUGAGAAAAUUUUUGAAGAGAAUGAACAGGGCUAUGGUAAUUACUUAAAGAAGCUUUGAAUUCAAAAUGUGCUUCAAGAAUAAUUCCAUAUACAACAUGCUAAAUAACCACCAACCAAAAACCUUACCAGGAAUCAACAUGCUCAUAUCAACAUUAAAACAGAUGUUUUAGUUUGUAUCCAAAAGCUUAUGUCAGCACUACCUUGCUCAUCUUCUAUUGAACGAUUUCCUCCUAGGAUUUACUACUCAGAUAAAAAUCUCUCUAAACCAGUGCGUGGAACCCUUUGAAAAGUGACAAAAGCCAAAAAAUGUAACUACACACAAAAAAUGUGCAGCUCUAGACUCCAAGUUAAGAACUGUUGUAAAACAACUUACACGCUUCCUUUUUAGUUUUUAGUUUUAAUGGUUCAUCAAAAUAAUAUAGACAGUAUGAAAAAAUCGAAUGGCAAUGACUUUUUAACAACCUGCUCUGAGUUCUGAUAGUUACUAUUCUAAGUAUACUUAGAACCCUGUUUUUUGAGACAUUGGUGUAUUUACAUCACCACCACCCUCUCCUUCCAGUAUGUUUUUCUUUAAGUAACACUCAAACCUAUUUCUUCUUCCGUUAAUUUCCACUGAUCUCUGCCAUCUGACUUUAUAAGACAUGAAUACUCUUACCUUUUCUACCUCUUCUUCCCCACCCCGUUUCUUUCAGCUUCUAAAGUUCUGUCAGUGGUACUAUGAGGUUGAUAAUUACAGAACAUAAUGUCAAGUUUCCUGUGCUUUUCUAUAGAUGAAAUAUACUUCCUUUUAAUCAGACAAGAACUCGAUAGCCAGUGUUUCCCUUUUUGCCUUAGCAGGCGGGAUUUUUAGAGGUUGGUAUGGUACUCAAAAUAAAUGCUUCUUUUUCCAAAUGACUUAUCUUUAUCUUUAGCCAUCCUUAUGGUGUUUUAAUGUUAGAAGCAGUUUCAGAUCCUUUUGAAAAUACACUGUAUUAUAAUUAUAAAUUAAAUAUGUGUCACGUACCCAUGCUUGAAGCUGAAAAUCACAUUUUAAAUAGGUCACAUCAGUAGAGACAUUAUGUUACGCUGUCUGAUACUAUGCAGGAGACUGGAAAUCUACAGAGAUUGAGGAGUUAGAUGUAAGCAAGGGAAAAGAAGGCUUCAGGGGCUUCUGGUCUCAUGAAGGAAGAGCCAUGUAUGGCCACAAAGCUGUUACCUCCUGCCAAGGUUACUUCUCUGCCUUUUAACAUUCUGUCUUUUACUCUGUUCAGCCACUCUGGGCUCCUUGCACUUCCUGGAACUCUUGACAUCACAUUUCAUUCAGAUCUCAAAUGUUACUUCUUAAGAAAGACCUUCCCCCACCACCCCUUCUUAUAAAUGGCACACCUGUUGCUCUUCAUCCCAUUUGCUAUGUUUUUAUUUGUAACACUUCCCACUGGCUGGCACUGUGUAUUUAUUAUGUCUCCUCCAACUAGAAUAUAAGCUCAUUUAGAGCAGGGGCUCCCCCCGCCACAAAUGCUGUAUCCCCAGUGCCUAGAACAGAGACAUGAAUAAGAUGGUGAAAGAAAUGAACUCAUGGAGUUUUUUAAGGGGGUGGGGGGAUCAAUGAAAUUCCAUGCUUCUGUGGCUCUUCAAGAGAGAACAGCACAGCACUUUCAUAGAGUACUCCUGUCAUGUUUGCUGAAAUUUAAUUGCAAAGAGAUGAGGACACCUAGUACCUGAACCUAAGGUAGGUAGCAGUUCAAAAUUAUCGGCCCAUGCGUGGGAAUUACAAGUCCUGCUUUCUGCCAAGACCCAGAGUUAAUCUCCCAGAAUUUUCUCCUAACCUUUGCUUCUGGCCAAAGAGCGGUUACCAGAUUAUUUCCCAGACACUUCUCAUAUGGACCCAAUCAUCAUCCCUGACAGCUCUUCUGUUGUGUACCCUUGAAAGUCCUAGCCAAUGAGUUGAAUGAUACAUAGCAGGCAAUCACAUUAUUGCUUAGUUAAUGAUAAGCAGUACCCCAGCCAUCUCUUGGAACUCUCCAGUUUCAAGCUCCUUACUCAUCUUAGGUCUUGAACCCCCUUGGAGAAAGAGACACAGUGUAACAGCUUCCAUCUUAAAAAGUGUAAACAAUAUAACCAUUUUCAUGUGCCCUCAGGCUCUUUAAACUGUAAUUCUACUUAUGAAACCUGCACAGAACAGGAAUUGGUAUAGCCUACGAAACGGGGGUUGAAAAACCACAGCCAAAUGAACUAUGAAUCGCCUACUUUGGGGAUUGAGUUCACUUAGUUAUUUUAUAGGCAACUUUGAAAUCUGGUAAUUUUCCCACUUGCCCUUUGUUCGAGGGAAAAUGCUUCUUUACAUAAUUUUGACUCUGCAAAAACUGUAAGGAGGGAAGAAUUGGGAUCUCAAGGUCUUUAGCAAACAAGCUCGCUGGGACCGCGCGAGGCAAAGCAACGGAAGUUGGAGGGACUUUGCAACAGCUGCAAGAGUUUCACUCCCCGCCCGGAGAGUGGCAGCGUGAGCGAGGCUACCCCAACUCGGGCGGCGUCCAACAGCCAGACGUGUGCAAGUCCCUGCCGAACCCCGAGGCCCACCUUGCUGGACCCCAGACAAGUCCCACUUGUUCCCCCUCCUUCCCCACGCCUUGGCCCGUCAGGGGCGCAGCGCCGAGGAGCACGGCGUGGACACGAGGAACCCUCUCCUAGCCCAUGCUCACCCUUGGUCAGCGUGUCCAGCACCCCCGACUUCUCCAAGUAUCUCCGGAACUGCUCGCGCUUCGAGUCGGCGGCCUGAGGAGACACGGCGGGUCAGUGGCCGAAGCCCAGGGACUGGAGCAGGAAGAAGGCGCUGGGAGUCCGGCAGCCCCGCCUCCGCCUCGCUACCUCAGGCCCCCCAAACCUGCGCGCGCGCCCCCGCUCCCACCCCGAGCCGACCAGCGGCUGGCUACCGCCCGCACGCCCCCAGCCACGCCGCGCCCCCCUCACUUUGUAAUGGGCCAUAGUGACAGCGGCAGCGGCGUAGCUGGCGCCCGAGACCGUGGCUGGCGGGCUCUGAGCAGCACUGCUCAUGCGCGGAAGGGCGCGCGCGCCUGCGCACUUGCAAACCACGGUUCGAGAUCGCAGGGGUGUGGCCUGUUUUCAUGACGACCGGGACGCUCUGAGUGCCCCAUAGUGGGCUAAGCCGAGGGAGGCUGCGUACGCCCGCCUCUCUGUUCCCGGAGCAGCACCUCUCCUUCCUCUUCCGGUCCUUGUUGCGAUUCGGUUGCUUAGCGAGAGGCGAGGUUUUAGUAACCGGGAACUAGUGUCCAGGUGGGGCCAAAGAUGAGCGUGGCGCCCGGGGGCGGGGCCUGCGGAGGUCGGUAGCACUAGGACUGUAGCAGGGUGGGCUCUUCGGACACCGGUCUGGAGCGGACGUGUCUCAACUGGGACCUGAGGAGGUGUAGCAGCCUAUACGUGCUGACUUCUUGGCUCUCAUCCUGAAAAGAUGCGCACGACCGAUGCAAGGCGACCCUUGGGAUUAAAUCAGGAUACGGUUCUAUUGUGUGCUGUGGAGUGCUUGAAGAGAUUGAAGUGGAUUUCUGUGCAGUGAUCUAAAAGCACUGGACAAAAUAUAUGAAGCAGCGAUCCCCAAGAUACUGGACAUCAGAUAACAAAGGAGAGUGAACCCUGAGAGACAAAAGAUAAAUGAGGUAUUUACCCAGGAAAGCUGAAAACAUUGACUACACAAAUACUUACAAACAAAUGUUCAUAGAAGGUUCUUUGCAAUAGCCCCAAACUGGAAACAACGCUAAUGUCCAUCAGUAAGUAGAAGGGACAAUUUGUGGUAUAUCCCCACAAUGAAAUACCACUUGGCAAUAAAAAGCAAUCAACUGUUGAUACACAUAAUAACAGGGAUAAAUCUCAAACUAAUUAUGCUGACAGAAGCCAGACAAAAAUAGCGUACAUACUCUAUAAUUGCACUUACAUAAAAUUCAAGAAAAUGCAAAUUAAUCUACAAUGAUCAGUAGUUGCCAGGGAAAGGACAGGGAGGGGCAGUAGAGAGCAAUUCUCAGGGGUCACAAAGAAACUUUUUGGGGAGCGAUGGAUACAUUAAUUAUCUUGAUUGUGGUGACAGUUUCAUGACUGUAUACAUGCAUCAAAAUUAUCACAUCAUACACUUUGAAUAUGUGCAGCUUAUCAUAUGUCAAUUAUCCCUCACCAAACAGAACGCAAAACAAAACAAUAACAGAUUUUGGGGCCAUAUCCUCCAAGAUCUGACUCAGUACAUCAGGGCGGGAUCUGGAUGGCUGUAGCUGUGACAAGCCCUCCAGGCAGUUGUGCUCAUCAGUCCGACUGGGGAACGCUGGGUGGGAUUGCAGACAGACCAGCACUUCUGUCUUUGACAUGCAUACAAAUCACUUCUGGAUGUGUUCACAUGCAGAUUCUGGUUAGUGGGUCUGGUGUGGGGCCCAAUAUUCUGCAUUUUUAACGAGCUCCCAGGUGACAGCAAUGAGGCUGAUCCGCGGACCGUGCUUUGCCAGGAGCAUGGAUGGGGAAGCUAAAGUUAUCUGAUGCAUCGAGCAGUCUAGGAAAAAGCAAAGCAAGAAAGCAGGCAAGAGGAAACUUUUAGAGGUGGUGGAUAUGUUUAUGAAAUAGACUGCAGUGAGGGUUUCAUAGGCGUAUACGUAUCUCCAAACUCCUCAAGUCAUGUACAUUAAAUAUGGACAGAUUUGGGUAUGUCAAUCAUGUGUCAGAAAAGUUAAUAAAACAUUUUACAUCGAGUUCCCCUUAACCUCUGUAUGUCUCACUUCUUUUUUGAACAUUAGAAAGGAUUAUGCUUCCAAGAUAAGGAAAGAAAAGAAAGGCAAUGGGGCCACGUAGUGGAGGGUAAUAAGCAAUCUUGAAUGUUUUGACUUUCUUCUGGGCUCUGUGUUUUACGAAGGAUCUAAUCUGUGCUUGAGGAAGGUGACCCAGGCAGCAGUGUGAAGACCAGAAUAGCAAAGACACACACCUGCCAGGAAGCUCCUGCAAAAAUAGGCAGAGGGUGGGACAGAUUCAUCACGUUCUCUCCUCUCUCUGUCCGAAACUGGGGCAGGGCUGAUUCCACAGGUCAAAAUCAAGCUGCGGGGAAACCGUGCAGAUGCUAGAGCCAGGAAGGACCUCACCAGUGCAGAGGCUUCCAAGGGCAGGAAAAACAGGUGCGUGCAGGACCGGAAGUAGAAGGUGGAAAAACAGGUUCCACAAAAGUAGGAGGGAAGCACACUGGGGAGCUAUGUCACCGAGCAUUGCCAAGUCUAUCUCCUAAAGGCUUCCUGCUCUCUGGCCCCACUGCUCUAGGAGGCUAGUAACAUUUUCAUCAGUUAAAAAAUUUUGAGCCCUGCAAAAGGUCGGAUUGUGUCCCCCAAAAAUAUGUGUUGACGUUCUAACCCCCAGCACCUAGAAUGUGAUAUUAUGUGGGAAGAGGAUUGUUGCAGAUAUGAUUAAGAUGAGGUCAUACUGGAGUAUAGUGGGCCCCUCAACCUAUAUGACUAUGUCCUCAUUAGAGGAAACAGGGAAUGUGAAGGGAGAACUCUAUGUGACGAUGGAGGCAGAGCUCGAAGGGCUGCAGCUGCAAGCCAAGGAACGCCAAGGACUAAAGGCCACCACCAGCAGCAGCUAGGGAGAAGGGAGGAAGGAUUCUCCCACACAGGAUCAGAGGAGGGAGCAUGGCCCCACUGACACCUUGAUUUCAGACUUCCAGCCUAACUGUGAGAUGGUACAGUUCUCAGUCUGUGGUUUAAACGACCCAGUCUGUGGUUCGUUAUAGGAGCCCUAGGAAACGGAUACAACCAGCCACACUGCAAUAUAGCUGUAUUAACUUAUUUGUAGGUUACAUAUGUAAGUACUACUGGACUAAUGUGGUUUUUUUGAUGGCAGGUACAUUUUAUUGGUUUUCUUUCAUAUACUAAUAUGUUUUUUAAUAUAAAAAUAGAUUUUUUUAAGAUUUUAUUUAUUUAUUUGACAGAGAGAGCACAGCAGGGGGAGCAGCAGAGGGAGAGGGAGAAGCAGGCUCUCUUGUUGGGCAGAUAGCCCAAUGUGGAGCCGGAUCCCAGGACCCUGGGGAUCAUGACCUGAGCCGAAGGCAGACGCUUAACCAACUGAGCCACCCAGGUGCCCCUAGAAAUAGAAUUUUUAAAGGAUGAAACAU